AGAGUUUGAUCAUGGCUCAGAAUCAACGCUGGCGGCGUGCCUAACACAUGCAAGUCGAACGCGAAAGCCCCGCAAGGGGUAAGUAGAGUGGCAAACGGGUGAGUAACACGUGGGUGACCUGCCUUAGAGUGGGGGAUAACGUCCCGAAAGGGACGCUAAUACCGCAUAACAUCCUGCCUUUGAAGAGGUGGAGAUCAAAGCCGGGGACCGCAAGGCCUGGCGCUCAAAGAGGGGCCCGCGCCUGAUUAGCUAGUUGGUGAGGUAAUGGCUCACCAAGGCAACGAUCAGUAUCCGGCCUGAGAGGGCGGACGGACACACUGGGACUGAGACACGGCCCAGACUCCUACGGGAGGCAGCAGUGGGGAAUUGUUCGCAAUGGGCGCAAGCCUGACGACGCAACGCCGCGUGGAGGAUGAAGGUCUUCGGAUUGUAAACUCCUGUUGCCAGGGACGAAAAGCUCCGACCUAACACGUCGGAGUCUGACGGUACCUGGUGAGGAAGCCCCGGCUAACUCUGUGCCAGCAGCGGCGGUAAUAC
rnacentral:rRNA from 1 species